CCUCCCUCCUUCCUCCCUCCCUCCUCCCUCCCCCCCUCCUUCUGGAUCUGCAGUGAGCGUCUCAGGAAUAUUCAAAUUGCUCCGUGCUCGGGGGAGCAUGAAGGAUGUGUAACUGAGGUCUCCUGGAUUCCUGCCCGUCCAUUAGCUUUUGUCCGUCCUCGCCGCAUUAAACCUGCGCCGCCUCGACGUCUCCAUCAUCGGAGGCCUCGGCCGAGGGCGGCGACAUUAUUGAAAACCGGCCGAGUCGAACGGGAUCCUUCUGCCUUCGUGUUGGACCACUUCGUAGGGGUCCACGGGGGUUUAGUCCUUUAGUUCACCGCCACAUGGGGGUGUUCUUCAAGGCAGCAUGUGCUGCGUGUGAGAAGAUGUCACAAUGAGUCAAAUUCUCCCCUUUCAAACAUUUGGCUGAAAUAAACUUAAACAAAUACUUUUGUAUUUAUGUCAAAAUGAACAGCGAGGUGGUCUCUGCUCAAACAGAGGUGGUCUCUGCUGCCGCCCCGUUUUAUUUCCAUCUUCAGAAUCAUUUUCAAUGAGGCAGAAAAGGGAAGAAGAAUAAAUCAUGCAGACGUUCUUUUAGCUUUAGUCUUCCUCGGGUCGGGGGGAUUCACAGGGCUCUUUGUGGGGGCUCUAGGUAGCUUUCGCUGGGGUUUAGCAGCGGCUCGCCCCCCCCAGGUCUGGGGAAGGGGGGGGGAGCAUCACUGCUGGCUCAUCACAGGAAUGGGAGGGAGGCAUCGAUGAAACGGGACCCUGUGAUUAUUUAGGUCCACGAGCUGUUAGCCUGAUGGCUUUUUAAUCGCUGCUAAUGGAGUUCCCACUAACGUAAGCACACAGGGGGGUUUGUGGAGCGUGUUAGGACCCCCCCCCCCCCAACACACACACACACACACCAAUUCUCUCUGUCGAGUCUCAUGUCCUUCUUGUUUACUUUUCCGUCCUCAAAGUGAUGACAGGUGAUCGUAACGCUUAGAGACCCGCCUCCUCUGUCAUUACUUAUAGAAAAGUUCUUUCACCUCCAUCCGUCUCCUCACUUCUCCCUGACGCUGCUGCAGUGGAGGGUGUCCUGCUGCGCCCCCCCCCCCCCCCCCUGUGUUUGCCCACCUUCCCCUCUGCUUGGCGCCGCUGACUCGGGCGCCUUGUGAGCAGCGACGUUAGCUGAGAAAACCCUUUGAGCCCAGCUGGUGAUUCUGCUGCAGACGCUCCGAACGUAUCGGCCCGGUGCUGCCGACUCAGCACAGACCAGCGGUUCCCUUUCAUGUGCAUUAAAGCCCCCCCUGCCCCCCCCCCCCUGCCCCC
ensembl:lncRNA